rnacentral:rRNA from 1 species
CAGGCGCGAAAACUUUACAAUGCGGGAAACCGUGAUAAGGGGACACCGAGUGCCAGCAUCAUAUGCUGGCUGUCCAGGUGUGUAAAAUACACCUGUUAGCAAGGGCCGGGCAAGACCGGUGCCAGCCGCCGCGGUAACACCGGCGGCCCGAGUGGUGAUCGUGAUUAUUGGGUCUAAAGGGUCCGUAGCCGGUUUGGUCAGUCCUCCGGGAAAUCUGAUAGCUCAACUAUUAGGCUUUCGGGGGAUACUGCCAGACUUGGAACCGGGAGAGGUAAGAGGUACUACAGGGGUAGGAGUGAAAUCUUGUAAUCCCUGUGGGACCACCUGUGGCGAAGGCGUCUUACCAGAACGGGUUCGACGGUGAGGGACGAAAGCUGGGGGCACGAACCGGAUUAGAUACCCGGGUAGUCCCAGCCGUAAACGAUGCUCGCUAGGUGUCAGGCAUGGCGCGACCGUGUCUGGUGCCGCAGGGAAGCCGUGAAGCGAGCCACCUGGGAAGUACGGCCGCAAGGCUGAAACUUAAAGGAAUUGGCGGGGGAGCACAACAACGGGUGGAGCCUGCGGUUUAAUUGGACUCAACGCCGGACAACUCACCGGGGGCGACAGCAAUAUGUAGGCCAAGCUGAAGACUUUGCCUGAAUCGCUGAGAGGAGGUGCAUGGCCGUCGCCAGUUCGUACUGUGAAGCAU